rnacentral:lncRNA from 1 species
AAUUUCCCUAUGGUCUUCUGACAGCAAGAUGUCAACUGUCCUCCCUGUUCUGAUAGAUUGCAUAGGAUGCUGCUUCCAGAUUCAAAGAAACAAUGGACAGAAGUCACAAAGAUCAACCUCUGGUUGCAUCAGAAAGUUAUACUCCCGGUGCCACAAGCAGUUACACCCAACAGAAAAAAUGGAGGAAUUCCAGGCAGAGCUGCCCAGCAUCACAGGAGAAACAGAGGCUCCAACUGGCUCCAUCAUGAUGACCAGUGAAACGACUAAUGAUAAUGCAGUGACGUCAGAGAUCACGACUCCAGUGACGAACAAUCAGGUUG